AAAAAAAAGUGCAAAUUCAAUUUUCCUCGAGCUAUCCAUUUAAUGUAAUUUAGGCAAGGCACACGCCUUUGCAUUGCAUGUUGUGGCUGAACAACAAAUUAGAAGUGGUGUGGUGAACAGAGGAAUGUGCAUGAGGCUUCCUUUGCACAUUAUCUACAUUAACCUCAGCACUUAACAAUGGGACCAGGGAGACCGUGCCGAGCUUGAGUAAUCCAAGCUGAAGAUCAAAGCGGAGACUAACUGCUCCACCAACAUGCCUCCCUUCUUUCUUCUAUGUAGAAGCUUUCAAUGUUUCCAAUAGAGGACAAAUCCAUGGACCCUUUUGGGUAAUGGAUAGGACCCAUCUGAAGGAUCCUACAUAUAAGUAAAUUGUAUAAAAAUUGUUUUUGUUUACACUGUUCCUUUAAGAAUCCCCUUCUCUAAUAGAGAGCAGGAUAUCGAUUAUAUGCCCUGCACAGUACAUUCAUAUAACUGAUUCAUUUUACUAAGUGAAAUUAAACGGAUCAAUCUAAAAUGAUUUUUGGCAGUGCAGCUGUAGUUGACCAUUUGCUUAUAAAAGAUUACUGAAAUGGAAAAGUUGGGAAUAAGAAUGUGGUAUCUGUUGUAGAAUGGCUAGGCCUCUUAAACUGAAUACUUUUAAUUAAAGAGUGAGAAAUUUUCAAUGACUAGUAUAAUAAAAACAAACUGCUUUGACACAA